GUGGGGAAUAUUGGACAAUGGGGGGAACCCUGAUCCAGCCAUGCCGCGUGUGUGAAGAAGGCCUUUUGGUUGUAAAGCACUUUAAGCGAGGAGGAGGCUACUUUAGUUAAUACCUAGAGAUAGUGGACGUUACUCGCAGAAUAAGCACCGGCUAACUCUGUGCCAGCAGCCGCGGUAAUACAGAGGGUGCGAGCGUUAAUCGGAUUUACUGGGCGUAAAGCGUGCGUAGGCGGCUUUUUAAGUCGGAUGUGAAAUCCCCGAGCUUAACUUGGGAAUUGCAUUCGAUACUGGGAAGCUAGAGUAUGGGAGAGGAUGGUAGAAUUCCAGGUGUAGCGGUGAAAUGCGUAGAGAUCUGGAGGAAUACCGAUGGCGAAGGCAGCCAUCUGGCCUAAUACUGACGCUGAGGCACGAAAGCAUGGGGAGCAAACAGGAUUAGAUACCCUAGUAGUCC
rnacentral:rRNA from 1 species